UACGGGAGGCAGCAGUGGGGAAUAUUGCACAAUGGGCGAAAGCCUGAUGCAGCGACGCCGCGUGAGUGAUGAAGUAUUUCGGUAUGUAAAGCUCUAUCAGCAGGGAAGAAAAUGACGGUACCUGACUAAGAAGCACCGGCUAAAUACGUGCCAGCAGCCGCGGUAAU
rnacentral:rRNA from 1 species